ensembl:lncRNA
UUUUUUUUUUUUUUUUUUGCUUUUUAGCACCCGCAGCAUAUGGAGGUUCCCAGGCUAGGGGUCGAAUCGGAAGCUAUAGCUGCCGGCCUACACCACAGCCACAGCAACACCAGAUCCAAGCCGCAACUGUGACCUACACCACAGCUCAUGGCAAUGCCAGAUCCUUAACCCACUGAGCAAGGUCAGGGGUCGAACCCGCAACCCCAUGGCUCCUAGUUGGAUUUGUUUCCACUGUGCCAUGAUGGGAACUACCCACUCAUUUGUUUUCCUGGCAUGAUCCUGCAAUGUGGCCAGCACUAAGUGCAAUGUGCCCACCAGACAGAUGAGGAAAUUGAGAAGUGACCCACCCAAAGUCACACAGCCACUGAAGGACAAAGUCCAUGCUUCGGUCAUCGUGUCAUUAAGUGGGGUGGGGGACACUUCCUGACAGGUACCCCAGAGCCAUGGGAAAGGACAGCAGGGCUACAAGGUCUUGAGCAUGAAGGGAGAGCUUUUUGUGGGGGACUAGGAUGGUCAUUUUGUUACCUGGCCUUGAACAGGACAGUCAGGGUGGGUCUGGAUCAGUUAAAUCUGUAAGAAGUCAAAGCCAUGGAAAAAUUUUGGACUCCCAGAGCCCACUUGAGACCAGCUACUCUGAUGUUAUGACAAAGUCAAAUUGGAAAAGUUUAAAAUUUAGUUUCCCAGGAGUUCCUCAGUGGCUCAGCGGGUUAAGGAUCUGGCAUUGUCACUGCUAUGGUUUGGGUCACUGCUGUGGCAAGGGUUAGAUCCCUGGCCUGAGAACUUCUGCGUUGCCUCGGGAGUGGCCAGCAAACAAAACCCUUAGUUUUCAAGUUGUUAAAAUGAAAGCGUCAGAUACAUGAUUCUAUAAAGUCUCUUCUGUUUUUGAUGCUACGGUAUACUCUCAGGAAGCUAUCACCAAUGUGAUGGACUAAUUUACACUAAAAUAUGAAUGGCUACCUUUCCAGGCAGCCGCUAAGAGACAGAAUUGGGAGUUGCUGCCUUUCAUCUGUCCUACAUUUUCAGUGUAAGUUUUAGCAAACAUCUUCUGUAAAGGUCUCUGUCCCAAUUACUCAGCUGUCCUGUUAUAGGAUGAAAGCUGCUUUACUUACAAGACAGUGGUGGGUGGAUUUGGCCUUGGGUCUGUGGUUUGCCCCAAAUUAGUGAAAAGAAUAAAGGGUUUUGAGUCAGAGUAGACCUGAAUUUGAAUGCCAACUCUGCUAUUUACUCCUGUGGGAUCUUAGACAAGGUACAUAAAAUCUCUGAGUAUAGCUUCUGAAGGAUAGAAAGUAUCCUUUCUUUCUGGAGUAAGACUGCCCAGAGGGAUAAUCAACACUUAAGCGCAACCUCUCUGGGGCCACAGUGCCUGGAACCAGGCCCUGGUUCCAUUACUUAAUAGUGUGCAGACCUGGGCAAGUUACUUAACUUCCCCUUGCCUCAGGUUAUCAUCUGCACAUGGGAAGCACAACUGUGACCACCUCUUGGGGUCCUGGGGAGGGUCAUUUUUUUUUUGUUUGUUUGUUUGUUUUUGUUUUUAGCACCCGCAGCAUAUGGAGGUUCCCAGGCUAGGGGUUGAAUCGGAGCUACAGCUGCGGGCCUACACCACAGCCACAGCAACACCAGAUGCGAGCUGCACCUGCGACCUACACCACAGCUCAUGGCAAUGCCAGAUCCUUAACCCAUUGAGGAGGACCAGUGAUCAAACCCACAUCCUCAUGGAUACUAGUCGGAUUCAUUUCUGCUGUGCUGCAACAGGAACUUUUGGGGAGGGUUAAAUAUUGAUCCUGACUCAGAAUAGCACUAGCUUACACAGCUUAUUACAUGUUGAGUAUAUCUCAGCUACAUAAUGAAUAUCUGUUUCUUCUCCUCACCCACCUUUGCCAAUUUCAAAGGCAGCCCAGCCAUUGCUGUGUUUUCAUGUAGCCAAAACAUAGCCUCUGUUCCCUUGUCCCCUCUGGGUAGUGUCCCAGAGGUUUGCAUUUGGGCCAGAUCUGAGUUUCCCUUGAGCCUGAGGGCACGUGACCACUUGGCAGGAAGUUCCAGCUUCUGGAGAUACCAGCCUCCACAGGACUUGCCAGGCAUUAGCCAACCUUCCGCAGGACCUGGCUGCCCCUCAAGCUCUUCGAUGUCAGUCCACAUUAGGCUGCUGGCCAAGGAACUGCUCCCCAAACUGGGCCAUGGUUCAGGGAGGCCCUGACCUCAGCUCUGACCCAGAGGAGGAGGAGACAGAAGUGCGGUGACCAGAGACUCCUGGGAGAGCUGGCAGUUGACUGGCUUCUGAUGCGCUGCCUGUCGGCUACUGGCUCUGUAGGCAUCAGGCCUGGGAGGGGAUGAGCUGGGCCAGACACACAUGAGGUAAGGGAUUGGACUGCAGGAAA